CAUAUUGUGUUCAUAAACAUAUAUCUUAGACAUAUUUUUGUUGUACAAGGAUAAGGAGAGUGUAAAUUCAUGUAAACCAGGCGUGACACAGAAUGGAUCUAGUUUCUGCUUCAAAACAGAAGAGCGGGCCAGGAAAAGGAAAGAGGCAAGGACCAAUUUCUUGUGUCUACUCGAUAAAGUUCAAACGUCGUAUAAAACCUAAAAGAAGUCUUUGAUAUUGAUUUCAGUUCUUUAUGAAGCUAGAGGAUAAAGUGUAUACCAAAGAGGAAGAAACACGUCAGCUCCAAGCGAGAAAAUAGGAAAAGAAAGAAGCAGAGAUCAAACAGCUAUGGAGAAAUCUCAAUUUCAAAGCAACUCCCAUGCCUGCCUUUUACCGUGAACUUGGCCGCCGCUCAGAAAAAAACAAGGAUGGACAGAGCUGGGAGGAGGCAGGAGCAAGAGCUGCAGUCAGAGGCGGAUGAAGGGUUGACAGAAAGAGAGAAAUUCUAGAUGUUCUGAGGGCAAAAACUGUUAUUUUCUGUGUUGAAACUAGGAGCUAGCAAGUAAAACUAAAUCACAAAGCAGGCCUUCAACUGCAGCAGGGGCUAGAGCUACUAGUGCAACUAAGAACACUGUUCGUUGUUUAAGGGCAUAAGUUUAUAACAGAUGUUCCACUAAUGAACGUCUAAAUGUGGCCGAUUCACCACAGGUUUUAGAAGUAACUAUUCAUCCUUCAGUAGAGUUAUCAGACAGCAGCGUGCCUUCAGUUGCAACAAGCAAAACGUCCAAACAAACCCAAUCAAAUAGAACAGUAGCUCCAAAGAGAGAGUAAGAGAAAAGGCAGGUCGCGAAUUAUCUAAGACCAAGAACAUCAGAUUUUAUCAGGAGGAACAAGGACUUUAAAGCUGAAGACAAUACAAAGGUUCUUGCACGAAGAACAGGAAACUAUGCAACGGGAAAGGAUGUUAGAAGUGUGGACUUGAGCCAUAGUACAAGAAUGGGUAACCGUUGGUGUUGCUUCCUAGACGUAUCAUCAUUUAGUUGUUGCUGUUGGUGUGAAUCUUCUUAUAUUCUCAGCAUAGCAAAGAUGAUUGGUCUCAUAUUUGAGACGAUAAACUUAGUGAGUAGGUUAGCAUUUCUAUUAGAUAUGUUGUGCAUAUAAUUAUGCCUAGUUUCGUAUAGAUAAUGUCUUUGAGCCAAGUUCUUGAUAUACCACAAAUGUUGUGCUAUUAAAGAUCAACAUACUUUGUGUAAAA